rnacentral:tRNA from 1 species
UGGGAGUAUAGUUUAACAGGAAAAACAUAUGUUUUGCAUACAUAAAAUUAUCAGUUCGAGUCUGGUUAUUUCCAG